GUCAUCGUUGUGAUGGGUAACAUGUCUGCAUAAGGUUACAGGUAGAUGUCAUCGUUGUGAUGGGUAACAUGUGACUGCAUAAGGUUACAGGUAGAUGUCAUCGUUGUGAUGGCUAACACGUUACUUUGCUUUAAGUUACAGGUAGAUGUCAUUGUUGUGAUGGGUAACAUGUCUGCAUAAGGUUACAGGUAGAUGUCAUCGUUGUGAUGGGUAACAUGUGACUGCAUAAGGUUACAGGUAGAUGUCAUCGUUGUGAUGGCUAACACGUUACUUUGCUUUAAGUUACAGGUAGAUGUCAUUGUUGUGAUGGGUAACAUGUCUGCAUAAGGUUACAGGUAGAUGUCAUCGUUGUGAUGGGUAACAUGUCUGCAUAAGGUUACAGGUAGAUGUCAUCGUUGUGAUGGGUAACAUGUCUGCAUAAGGUUACAGGUAGAUGUCAUCGUUGUGAUGGGUAACAUGUGACUGCAUAAGGUUACAGGUAGAUGUCAUCGUUGUGAUGGGUAACAUGUGACUUUGCUUUAAGUUACAGGUAGAUGUCAUCGUUGUGAUGGGUAACAUGUGACUGCAUAAGGUUACAGGUAGAUGUCAUCGUUGUGAUGGGUAACAUGUCACUUUGCAUAAGGUUACAGGUAGAUGUCAUCGUUGUGAUGGGUAACACGUGACUGCAUAAGGUUACAGGUAGAUGUCAUCGUUGUGAUGGGUAACAUGUGACUUUGCAUAAGGUUACAGGUAGAUGUCAUCGUUGUGAUGGGUAACAUGUCACUUUGCAUAAGGUUACAGGUAGAUGUCAUCGUUGUGAUGGGUAACACGUGACUGCAUAAGGUUACAGGUAGAUGUCAUCGUUGUGAUGGGUAACAUGUGACUUUGCUUUAAGUUACAGGUAGAUGUCAUUGUUGUGAUGGGUAACAUGUGACUGCAUAAGGUUACAGGUAGAUGUCAUCGUUGUGAUGGGUAACAUGUCACUUUGCAUAAGGUUACAGGUAGAUGUCAUCGUUGUGAUGGGUAACACGUGACUGCAUAAGGU